UUAAGUUGUUGUGAAGUGUUUGGAGGAACUCUCGGUGUCAUCAAACAAUUAGUAGAUAGUGUUUAAACUACAAGAUUGAGAGCCACGUUUGGUAUUGUCGUGAGUUCCCUUCAAACACUUCACGUGGCACUAUCUCAAUGCCUACUAUGUGAAGUGUUUGGGGGAACUCUCGGUAUCACCAAACAUUCAACAGAGUGUUUAAACCACGAGAUUGAGAUGGGAGCCACUUUUGGUAUUAUCGAGAGUUCCCUUCAACCACUUCACGUGGCACUGUUUCAAGGCCUAUUGUGUGAAGUGUUUGGGGGAACUCUCGAUAUCACCAAACAUUUAAUGUAGUGCUUAAACCACAAGAAUGAGAUGAGAGCCACGUUUGGUAUUAUCGCGGGUUCCCUUCAAUCACUUCACAUGGUACUAUUUCAAGGCCUACUAUGUGAAGUGUUUGGGGGAACUCUCGAUGUCACCAAGCACUUAUUACGUGACAUUUUAAACUACAAAGAGGUGGAGCCUAGUUU
rnacentral:precursor_RNA from 1 species